rnacentral:rRNA from 1 species
ACGAACGCUGGCGGCGUGCCUAAUACAUGCAAGUUGAGCGCUGAAGGUUGGUACUUGUACCAACUGGAUGAGCAGCGAACGGGUGAGUAACGCGUGGGGAAUCUGCCUUUGAGCGGGGGACAACAUUUGGAAACGAAUGCUAAUACCGCAUAAAAACUUUAAACACAAGUUUUAAGUUUGAAAGAUGCAAUUGCAUCACUCAAAGAUGAUCCCGCGUUGUAUUAGCUAGUUGGUGAGGUAAAGGCUCACCAAGGCGAUGAUACAUAGCCGACCUGAGAGGGUGAUCGGCCACAUUGGGACUGAGACACGGCCCAAACUCCUACGGGAGGCAGCAGUAGGGAAUCUUCGGCAAUGGACGAAAGUCUGACCGAGCAACGCCGCGUGAGUGAAGAAGGUUUUCGGAUCGUAAAACUCUGUUGGUAGAGAAGAACGUUGGUGAGAGUGGAAAGCUCAUCAAGUGACGGUAACUACCCAGAAAGGGACGGCUAACUACGUGCCAGCAGCCGCGGUAAUACGUAGGUCCCGAGCGUUGUCCGGAUUUAUUGGGCGUAAAGCGAGCGCAGGUGGUUUAUUAAGUCUGGUGUAAAAGGCAGUGGCUCAACCAUUGUAUGCAUUGGAAACUGGUAGACUUGAGUGCAGGAGAGGAGAGUGGAAUUCCAUGUGUAGCGGUGAAAUGCGUAGAUAUAUGGAGGAACACCGGUGGCGAAAGCGGCUCUCUGGCCUGUAACUGACACUGAGGCUCGAAAGCGUGGGGAGCAAACAGGAUUAGAUACCUUGGUAGUCCACGCCGUAAACGAUGAGUGCUAGAUGUAGGGAGCUAUAAGUUCUCUGUAUCGCAGCUAACGCAAUAAGCACUCCGCCUGGGGAGUACGACCGCAAGGUUGAAACUCAAAGGAAUUGACGGGGGCCCGCACAAGCGGUGGAGCAUGUGGUUUAAUUCGAAGCAACGCGAAGAACCUUACCAGGUCUUGACAUACUCGUGCUAUUCCUAGAGAUAGGAAGUUCCUUCGGGACACGGGAUACAGGUGGUGCAUGGUUGUCGUCAGCUCGUGUCGUGAGAUGUUGGGUUAAGUCCCGCAACGAGCGCAACCCCUAUUGUUAGUUGCCAUCAUUAAGUUGGGCACUCUAACGAGACUGCCGGUGAUAAACCGGAGGAAGGUGGGGAUGACGUCAAAUCAUCAUGCCCCUUAUGACCUGGGCUACACACGUGCUACAAUGGAUGGUACAACGAGUCGCGAGACAGUGAUGUUUAGCUAAUCUCUUAAAACCAUUCUCAGUUCGGAUUGUAGGCUGCAACUCGCCUACAUGAAGUCGGAAUCGCUAGUAAUCGCGGAUCAGCACGCCGCGGUGAAUACGUUCCCGGGCCUUGUACACACCGCCCGUCACACCACGGGAGUUGGGAGUACCCGAAGUAGGUUGCCUAACCGCAAGGAGGGCGCUUCCUAAGGUAAGACCGAUGACUGGGGUG